UCUCCUAUUUAAUCUGUUUCAUCAAAAUUUGUAAUGAACCAAUUCUGAUCUCUCACCAUCUUCUUCUCUUCUCUGAUCUCUCACCAUCUUCUUCUCUUCUCGUUAUGCGAAGAUUCAAAUACCAUGUAAGCGUAACUUCUUCUAAAGAAGAAGAAGUUUACGUCUACGAUGGUUUAUAUAGAACUUCGAGCUUUGGUGGAUGAGUAACUGAUAGGGAAAGCAGAACUCAGAAGAAUCUACCGUCAGAUCUUCAACGUUUGCUUGUUCCUAUGGACAAAUGAAGUGUGCAUAUCUGCACAGAUACUAAUUUCAAGCUCAUAGAGGGGGAUGACGACGAUGAAGGUCUAGAUGACAGACAAAGGAAUGGAUGAUGCUGAUGAAGGAUUCCAAAACUGGAUUCAAUGAGAAUUGUUCUGAAGGAAAACAAAUGUUUAAUUUUUUGUAUUGUAAUUCCUUUGAUGCAAUUGGAGCUUGUUUCUAUGUACGGUUAAAUUAAGAAGUUGUGUAAUAUUGAUAAAUGUAAUUGUCACCCCCUAUGAAUAAAAUUAAAAUUAGUUAAA